GAUGAACGCUGGCGGCGUGCUUAACACAUGCAAGUCGAGCGAAGCACUUUGAAGUUUUCGGACAUUGAAGUGACUGAGCGGCGGACGGGUGAGUAACGCGUGGGUAACCUGCCUCAUACAGGGGGAUAACAGUUAGAAAUGACUGCUAAUACCACAUAAGCACACAGGAUUGCAUGAUCCAGUGUGAAAAACUCCGGUGGUAUGAGAUGGACCCGCGUCUGAUUAGGUAGUUGGUGAGGUAACGGCUCACCAAGCCGACGAUCAGUAGCCGACCUGAGAGGGCGACCGGCCACAUUGGGACUGAGACACGGCCCAAACUCCUACGGGAGGCAGCAGUGGGGAAUAUUGCACAAUGGGGGAAACCCUGAUGCAGCGACGCCGCGUGAAGGAAGAAGUAUUUCGGUAUGUAAACUUCUAUCAGCAGGGAAGAAAAUGACGG
rnacentral:rRNA from 1 species